AAACAGCGUGCAUGUAACUUCCAUGCCAUUGUGGAAAUUUGCAGGCAUGGAAGUGAGCUGCUGGAGUUUAACCAGACCACUGGGAGCAGGAUCAGAAAACAAGACUGCAGCCAUAGUUCUGCAGGAAAAAAGGGUACCGCUAUUGUCCAGACACCAGUAUUUACUCUUGGCUUGAAUAAUGAGGAACCGGUGGGUGAAGUGCAACUAGUGUCAUCUCCCAGUAUGGAUAGCCUGAUGUAUGUCCUUCAAAUCCAAAACUUCUUCUAGAGGACCUUCUUUCUGCUUCCUGAAGCUUGGUCUCAUCGAUCUACUGUGAGUUCAAUGUGACAUACAUGGCCAUUCUCCUUUCCAUUCUGUCUUCAUGAUGACCCUGUGAGGUAGCUCCAACUGAAA